rnacentral:lncRNA from 1 species
CCUUGCAAGGGCCUUAGCACCAGGCAUGCCCCAAAAUCUGACAUCCUCCUGAAUAUGUUGGAGGAUAGAGGUGGUACUAGGAGAUGCACCAUCGAAAACACAAGUGUUUCUAUGCUUCCAGAUCCACCAUGCCACCAGAAUGACCAGGGAAUUGAAACCCUUCCUAUGGGGUGCUGGCACCUGACGUUCAGCCAUACUCCACCACUCUUGGAACACAACUUCAUUCAAUCCAGGUGACAAAUGUUGCAGCUGCACCCUAUUCAGGAUCUGCCACCAUAUGCUUCUAGAGAAGACACGAGAUCAAGAUGUGUUGGGCUGUCUCCUCCUGCUGAUCACAAAGGAGGCAUUUCUCUGGAUGGUUUAGACCACGACGAGCUAAAUGAUCAGCCGUCCAACACCUAUUGAGGGGGGUGAGCCAGAUGAAGAGUUUGCACCUAGAGGGUGCCCAACUGUUCCAUAUCCGCUCGGUCGGCUCAAAGGUCACCGAUCCAGCCAUAAAACGGUGAUAAGCUGAAUUAACCGAAUACUCCCCAGAAGCAGUUGGAAGCCAGCGGCAAGCAUCAGGGAUUCCUGGCUGCAACUGAAAGUUCUGCGUUAGAUCCCAAAUAAUCAAGAAUUCCAUAAUCACAUCAGCUGGCAAGCUACCAGAAAUGUCUUCGACCCAUUUGUUAUCCAUAAGAGCUUCCUACACAAGUCUCCUUCUCUUUAUUCUUUUAGGAACUCUACUCACCAGAGAAGGGGCCAGAUCAGAGAUGCAUUGACCAUGAAGCCAGCGGUCAGACCAGAAAAGAGUUGUAGAACCAUCACCCACUAUAGAGCAAACUGAGGCUGAGAACAAAGCAACCACAUUGGGGUGUACCUGAAUAUCAAAUUCGGCUCAGGGCUUGUCUGGCUGCGUUUUAUAGAGCCAAAGCCAUCUUAAACUUAGCGCCCAACCAAGAAUUUCCAGAUUAUGAAUGCCCAAGCCACCCAGACACAAAGGUCUACAGACCCUUGUCCAACUCACAACACAAUGACCCCCUUUAACAUCCUUUGUGCCCUUCCACAGAAAACCUCUCCUGAUCUUGUCUAUUGCCUUGAGCACCCAUUUAGGGCAUUGAGUUGCUUUUUUUUGAAAGGGAGAGGCAAAAGAGUUGCCUUCCAAUAUAUUAGAUAAAAGGAGAAAACACUGUACAAAAACUGGCACAAAAAAAGGCGCCAACACCAAAAAACACUAGACAAUCAAACACCUAUCUAGCACCACUGAAUAAAAUUCUAACCCUCUGGCCAGGCCCUCAGACACUACUAGUAGGCCAGACCACUACCCACAAGAUCUUUCACCAUCUGCACCACUUGAUCUGACGUUCUCUAUUGACCCUUGAAAAUUCUGUUGUUUCUCUCCAACCAUAAGCUCCACCAGAAAUAAAAUAGAAGGCCAUCAAAACUUUUUCUUGAAUGCUUGUUACAGAGCGCAACCUCAGCCUGAACCACCAAUCGCUAAUAGUUCCCGUCUUUGAAAUCCCGACAAGGAACCGGAGAUUAGCCCAAGACAAAAUCCUGCUCCACACUUCCAUAGCGAAAGGGCAAUCCUUACAGAGAUGCGACACUGUCUCCAAAGACAAGUUACAAAGAGAACAAUUAAGAUUGCAGGGCCAUCCCUUUUUUUGCAAAUUGUCAGCGGUUAAGAUUUUGUUGUGCAAUAAAGUCCAAACAAAGAAACGACACUUAGGUUCUAUUUUUGCUUUCCAAAUGGGAUUGAAAUUAAUUUUACAGAAAAUUGUUGAGAACUGAAUUUUGUAAGCACUACUUGAACUGUAUUUCCCAUCUGCCGACCAUCUCCAAGAAAUGGUGUCGUCGAGAUCGUUGAGGCUGUGAGUGCUGCUGAUUGAAUGCCAAAGUGAGACGAAUUCUCUCACUUCCUCAUCCCGAGUGAACGGUGCACAGAACUGUAUCCAGUAAUUAUUUCGAAGAGCCUUGAACACCGUGAUGUUUUUCCUUCUUGCUUUCUUGUAUAGAUUUGGUGCCAUAUUCUUUGGAGCCUGCCCUUCAAUCCAACUGGAACCCCAAAAAUCCGCCAUCUUCCCAUUACCAAUAGUCACAAUUGUUGAAGCGUUGAAAAGAUCUACAUCCACCUUGUCGCACGGUAAUGGCAUGCCAGCCCAUGCCUUUUCUUUAACCAUCCACCGUAACCACAGCCAUCUUAGUCUCAGCGCUCUCGCAAAACGCUCCAGGUCCAAUACUCCUAGACCCCCCCUAUUCUUUGGCAAACAAGUUGUGGGCCAAUUAAUCAAGCAAUGACCCCCGCUGCAAAAGUCUGGACUAUUCCCUUUCCAAAGAAAGCUUCUUCUUAAUUUGUCAAUUCUUUUAAGAAGCCAUUUUUGCGCCGGAAAAAUCGUCAGAUGGUAAAUAGGCUGAGCAGAAAGCACCGCUUUAACCAAAGUUUCCCUGCCUGGCUUAGAGAGCAACCUGCCUUUCCAUCCUGCUAGCCUGUUAGUAAUUUUAUCAAUUAAAGGUUGAAAAUCCACUCUUCUAACAGUCCUGAAAUGAAGAGGCAGUCCAAGAUACUUCCCAGGAAAUUUUGAGUAUUUGCCGGGAAACACCUCCAUCAGAUCUGGCCAAAGAGUCUCGGGAUAACGAAUUGGGAAAAUUUCAGUUUUAUCAAAAUUGAUCUUCAGCCCAGAACAUCCUUCAAAAACUUCCAGGAUCCUUUUCAGAACUUUCAAAUCCUCUUUAUCUGCUUUAACAAACACUCCUGCAUCAUCAACAUAAAGAGAACAGUGAAGCUUUGCCGCUCAUGGUAGAACCCGCCCCAUAACCCCAGCAUCUGCCGCCAUCUCAAUCAUCCUCUGUAGCGGGUCCAUAGCUAAAAUAAACAGGAACGGGGAUAGCGGAUCUCCUUGACGAACACCACGCAUGUGCCUGAUUGCAUUUGUUUGUUGACCAUUGAUAAGGAUUUUGGAGGAGGAAGAGCCCAAAAUUGUGGCGAUCCAAUUCCUCCACUUCUGAGAAAAACCCAAGGCUCUUAAAACCUCUAACAGAUAUGCCCAGUUGACGGAGUCAAACGCUUUAGAGAUGUCAAGCUUGACAAAAAACGCUGAUUGUUUGCUCUUAUGGAGUUUCUGAACAACUUUUUGAACGUAGAGGAAAUUAUCGUGAAUUGAACGUUUCUUAAUGAAAGCGUUUUGGGUUGUGGAGACGAUCUCGUUCAUUCUUGGCGCAAGUCUAUUUGCUAAAAUCUUGGUUAAGAUUUUCAUAAAACUGUUGAUGAGACUGAUCGGUCUAAACAUGUCAAUCCUGUCAGCCCCUUCCCUCUUUUGCAAAAGCGUGAUAUUUGCCUCAUUAACAAGAUGCAGGCUUUUGCAUCUAUGAUUAUAGAAAUCAUGAAUAGCAUUGGAUAGAUCAUCCUUAAUCAGCUCAAAGCAACACUUAUAGAAUAACCCUAUGAACCCAUCUGGACCAGGCGCCUUUUCAGAGUGCAUCCCCAUAACCACAUUUUUAAUCUCAUCAACGUUGAUCGCAGAGUCCAGAUCUGAUAACUCAAAAGGGCUAUAGCCUAAGUUGUCCCAACGAACAGCACAUUGUCUAGCACCCGUCGUGCCAAUAACUUGGGAGAAAUGAUUAUGGGCCUCGAGUACUUUAUCUUCCUGACUAGUGAGCAGUCUGCCGUCUCGAACCAGCAAUCUGAUAAAGUUUUUUCUCCUUCUAUUAUUUGCCAUUAAGUGAAAAAAUUUUGUGUUUGCAUCCCCCAGGCGCAUCCAAACGAGUCUUGAAUGUUGCUUAGCUCUUGCCUUUUGAACUGACACUAAUCCGAGGAUUUUCAAUUUAAGACUUCUCCUGAAUUCAAGCUCAUCCCCAGAGAGCUGUCUGGAUUCCUGUGCUUUCUCAAGGAAAGUAAGGACAGUCUGAAUGAUUGCUAGUUGCACUUUAAAAUUGCCGACAGUCUUUCGACUCCAGGUCUUUAGAGCUUUAGCCGUACGGGCCAUUUUCACAUGCAGCCGAAGAAUGGCGUCUGAGGAACUAACACUAGACGCCCACGCUCGCUGAACCACCUCACUGAACCCAUCUAAUUUUGUCCAAAAAACCUCAAAACGAAAUCCCCUGUAGAAACCAAAAUCCGAGCAACCUUGCAUAACUAGAGGGCAAUGAUCCGAGGUCAUGGACCCAAUAGCUUGCAGAUUGGCCUGAGGAAACUUAUCAUGCCACUCCGUAGUCGCCAAAAAUCUGUCAAUUCUAGACAUCGAAGGGUCGUCUUGUUCGUUUGACCAGGUGAAUAAUUUACCAUUGAGAUCAAUCUCUAAAAGCUGAAGGUAGUCGAUUGUGUGAUUGAAUUGUCUUAACACUCGUCUAUUUAUUGGACCUUUGUUUUUCUCCCUUGCUCUCCUUAUCAUGUUAAAAUCACCUAGGAUCAACCAUUCCGGCUUCAUCAAAUUUCGAAUAUUGCGCAGCUCUGUUAAGAAAGACAUUUUCUCGGUCUCAGGUUGAGGAUGCUAUAAGAUGAUAUAUAGGGAUAGCAGUAAGAACUGAUCUAACCAGAGUCAAUCUUCCUGCCUGAUUGAUUACAGCAGCCUUCCAGCCUGGCAACUUACUAGCAAUCUUAUCUAUAAGCUCCAUGAACACACUUCUAGGGAGCUUCUUGACCGAGAGAGGAAGCCCCAGGUAUUUCAAUUUUAUUUUAAAAAGGUUAUCUGAUAUGACAAGCAACGUCAUAAGCAUCAUGAAUGAAACAUGAAAAAUCUACAUCAACAAUAAUAACACAUUUUUAGUCCCAAGUAAGUUGGGGGUAGGCUAGAGUGAAACCCAACAGAAACUACAAGUCAAGGUCCGGGCACAUAGAUAGAUGUUUUCCAUGCACUCCUAUUCAAGGCUAAAUCUUUAGGUGUAUACCAUCCUUUGAAGUCUCCUUUUGCUGCCUCUUCACAUGUCAACUUCGGUCUUCCCCUCCCUCUCUUCCCAUUGAUAUUGCGCCUUAGGAUCCCACUCCGCACUGGUGCCUUUCGAGGUCUCCGUUGGACAUAUCCAAACCAUCUCAACUAAUAUUGGACAAGUUUUUCUUCAAAUGGUACUACCCAUAGACUUUCACGUAUAUCAUCAUUCCGGAUUCGAUCCCUUCUUGUGUGGCCACAAAUCCAAUGCAACAUGAAAUCUACAAGUUAUAAUAAUUCUCUUCAUACAUCUAUAAAAAUAUAAAUAUACUGGCACACAAUCUUGAAUCCUCUAGCACCCAAUUGUAUAGUGUCAUGUAUAAGACUGAAUUUUAGAUGAAAAGGUUAUCCUUCAAGACAAAAGCAAAAGUUCAAUUCCUAAACUAUCCUAUUUGGGACCAUAUAGGGCGAGAGAGAUUUUUCCUAACAUCUACCAACCAACAAAUUUGAAAGGAGUAUUCCCUAGUGGGAUCGUCCUGUCUCUGGAUGACUCUGAACCAAACAGAACACAAGGUGGGACAUCGCACCUAGAACCAUCCCAUCCCUGGAAAAACAUUACCUAAACCUCUGGC